GAUAGGUCUCUGUCGCUACCGUGAUUGGACACUGACGCAGAGUCAACUAGCCUUGUCCGAGCGGUUCUUGGCGCGCGAGAACCGGGGCGGUCCGAGCCAUGAGGGGGGAGGCUCGGACCGUCCGUC
rnacentral:ncRNA from 1 species